UCUGGUUCAGGACGAACGCUGGCGGUAUGCUUAACACAUGCAAGUCGAACGAGACGAGAUGGAAGGAUCCUUCGGGUGACGGAAAUCUUAGAAAGUGGCGAACGGGUGAGUAACGACGUGGGUAACCUGCCCUAUGGAAAGGAAUAGCCUCGGGAAACUGGGAGUAAUGCCUUAUAAUACAUUGAAGUCGCAUGGCUUUGAUGUUAAACGCUCCGGUGCCAUAGGAUGGACCCGCGUCCCAUUAGCUAGUUGGUGAGAUAACAGCCCACCAAGGCGACGAUGGGUAACCGGUCUGAGAGGGCGAACGGUCACACUGGAACUGAGACACGGUCCAGACUCCUACGGGAGGCAGCAGUGGGGAAUAUUGCGCAAAUGGGGGCAACCCUGACGCAGCAAUACCGCGUGAGUGAAGAAGGUUUUCGGAUCGUAAAGCUCUGUUAUUGGGGAAGAAAAAAGACGGUACCCAAGAAGAAAGCCCCGGCUAACUACGUGCCAGCCGCCGC
rnacentral:rRNA from 1 species